rnacentral:misc_RNA from 1 species
AAGUCGUAACAAGGUUUCCGUAGGUGAACCUGCGGAAGGAUCAUUAUAAAAUUUUUUCAUAUAUUAUUUAUUUAAUAUAUAAAAUUAUAUACAAAAUGUAUUCAAAACCCACACACUUUAUAACCAAAAAAAAAUUAUAUAUUUUAAAUAUAUAUAUAAAAACAACUUUCAACAACGGAUCUCUUGGCUCUC